GGGAAACGGAUGGAGUGUUCAAUAAACAAUCAAUAUUGUGACCACGACUGGAACGAGGAUCAUACUCUCUUUAUUACAAGAACACGGAGGUCCUAUGGAAUUUCCUACGGAAAAAGGCCUCCUCAGUAAGGAAAUAACCCGGAGGAUGAUAAAGGUGUUGAUGAUUGGACAAUGGCAAAAUAUGAGUCAAAACCGAAUGCCGAACGUCAAAUGGCUGUGUUAGGUUGUACAAUGUCGGUAUUUACUACUACACCAGCCCUUGUACCAAGGCAAAACCUAUCAAUGUUAUGGGCUGGGACAUAUACCACUUCGAGACAAACCGGUCCAACGCCCACAUAAUGGAAGGGAGUUAUGAGAUUGAUCACUGUUCGUUAUCUUCACCUUGCACCAGACCACUCCAUCCUGUCUAUAAAGAUUUCAAAUUUGUUGGUGAAUUUACCAGGGUUGAAUGCCGCCACUGGAUUUUCUGGGAAGGUUCGUUCGUACCAGAAACGAUCACCGUGUUUAUAGAGACUGAACUGGUAAGCGAUGAUACACUGGAAUGUUGGUCCUAGGAUGCUCCCUCGAAGAGGAGUCUCUGACAAACCUCCAGCAUAAAGAUCAAUAUCAUCCACGUGACUGUCAAAAGACAAAGACAUUUUAACAUUUACAAAAUUACUCGUCGUCUGCACUCAUUUGUACUGUACAUCGUAUCUAACUUUGAUCCUUUUGUAAAAUAAUCAUUCAAAUAAAUUAAUCAUGUAA